rnacentral:rRNA from 1 species
CUGCCUAGUAGUGGGGGAUAGCUCGGGGAAACUCGAAUUAAUACCGCAUACGACCUACGGGUGAAAGGGGGCGCAAGCUCUUGCUAUUAGAUGAGCCUAAAUCAGAUUAGCUAGUUGGUGGGGUAAAGGCCCACCAAGGCGACGAUCUGUAACUGGUCUGAGAGGAUGAUCAGUCACACCGGAACUGAGACACGGUCCGGACUCCUACGGGAGGCAGCAGUGGGGAAUAUUGGACAAUGGGGGCAACCCUGAUCCAGCCAUGCCGCGUGUGUGAAGAAGGCCUUUUGGUUGUAAAGCACUUUAAGCAGGGAGGAGAGGCUAAUGGUUAAUACCCAUUAGAUUAGACGUUACCUGCAGAAUAAGCAC